rnacentral:rRNA from 1 species
ACGGAAAGGCCCUUCGGGGUACUCGAGUGGCGAACGGGUGAGUAACACGUGGGUGAUCUGCCCUGCACUUUGGGAUAAGCCUGGGAAACUGGGUCUAAUACCGAAUAUGACCGCGCACUUCCUGGUGUGUGGUGGAAAGCUUUUGCGGUGUGGGAUGGGCCCGCGGCCUAUCAGCUUGUUGGUGGGGUAAUGGCCUACCAAGGCGACGACGGGUAGCCGGCCUGAGAGGGUGACCGGCCACACUGGGACUGAGAUACGGCCCAGACUCCUACGGGAGGCAGCAGUGGGGAAUAUUGCACAAUGGGCGCAAGCCUGAUGCAGCGACGCCGCGUGAGGGAUGACGGCCUUCGGGUUGUAAACCUCUUUCAAUAGGGACGAAGCGCAAGUGACGGUACCUAUAGAAGAAGGACCGGCCAACUACGUGCCAGCAGCCGCGGUAAUACGUAGGGUCCGAGCGUUGUCCGGAAUUACUGGGCGUAAAGAGCUCGUAGGUGGUUUGUCGCGUUGUUCGUGAAAACUCACAGCUUAACUGUGGGCGUGCGGGCGAUACGGGCAGACUAGAGUACUGCAGGGGAGACUGGAAUUCCUGGUGUAGCGGUGGAAUGCGCAGAUAUCAGGAGGAACACCGGUGGCGAAGGCGGGUCUCUGGGCAGUAACUGACGCUGAGGAGCGAAAGCGUGGGGAGCGAACAGGAUUAGAUACCCUGGUAGUCCACGCCGUAAACGGUGGGUACUAGGUGUGGGUUUCCUUCCUUGGGAUCCGUGCCGUAGCUAACGCAUUAAGUACCCCGCCUGGGGAGUACGGCCGCAAGGCUAAAACUCAAAGAAAUUGACGGGGGCCCGCACAAGCGGCGGAGCAUGUGGAUUAAUUCGAUGCAACGCGAAGAACCUUACCUGGGUUUGACAUGCACAGGACGCCAGUAGAGAUAUUGGUUCCCUUGUGGCCUGUGUGCAGGUGGUGCAUGGCUGUCGUCAGCUCGUGUCGUGAGAUGUUGGGUUAAGUCCCGCAACGAGCGCAACCCUUGUCUCAUGUUGCCAGCACGUAAUGGUGGGGACUCGUGAGAGACUGCCGGGGUCAACUCGGAGGAAGGUGGGGAUGACGUCAAGUCAUCAUGCCCCUUAUGUCCAGGGCUU